rnacentral:rRNA from 1 species
UACGGAGGGAGCUAGCGUUGUUCGGAAUUACUGGGCGUAAAGCGCACGUAGGCGGUUCGUUAAGUCGGAUGUGAAAGCCCUCGGCUCAACUGAGGAAGUGCACCCGAAACUGGCGAGCUUGAGUACGAAAGAGGAUCGCGGAAUUCCCGGUGUAGAGGUGAAAUUCGUAGAUAUCGGGAGGAACACCGGCGGCGAAGGCGGCGAUCUGGGUCGAUACUGACGCUGAGGUGCGAAAGCGUGGGGAGCAAACAGG